rnacentral:rRNA from 1 species
CCUACGGGAGGCAGCAGUGGGGGAUAUUGCACAAUGGGGGGAACCCUGAUGCAGCGACGCCGCGUGGGUGAAGGAGCGUUUCGGCGCGUAAAGCCCUAUCGGCAGGGAAGAAGGAGGACGGUACCUGACUAAGAAGCCCCGGCUAACUACGUGCCAGCAGCCGCGGUAAUACGUAGGGGGCAAGCGUUAUCCGGAUUUACUGGGUGUAAAGGGGGCGAAGACGGCAGCGCAAGCCAGGGGUGAAAGCCCGGGUCCAAACCCCGGGACUGCUCUUGUAACUGCGCGGCUGGAGUGCAGGAGGGGAGGGGGGAAUCCCGGGGGUAGCGGGGAAAGGGGUGGAUAUAGGAGGAACACCGGUGGCGAAGGCGGCCUGAUGGACUGCGACUGACGUUGAGGCCCGAAAGCGUGGGGAGCAAACAGGAUUAGAUACCCGUGUAGUC